GACGUAGGGGGCCAGCGUUGUUCGGAAUUACUGGGUGUAAAGGGUGCGUAGGCGGCGCGGUAAGUCGGGUGUGAAAUCUCGGAGCUUAACUCCGAAACUGCAUUCGAUACUGCCGUGCUUGAGGACUGGAGAGGAGACUGGAAUUUACGGUGUAGCGGUGAAAUGCGUAGAUAUCGUAAGGAAGACCAGUGGCGAAGGCGGGUCUCUGGACAGUUCCUGACGCUGAGGCACGAAGGCCAGGGGAGCAAACGGG
rnacentral:rRNA from 1 species